UGGGAGGGGCCAGCGCGGGCGCUGGGUGCCGGGUGCGAUGGUGCCGGCGGGCAGGCGCGGGCCGGGGGUCUGCGGGCGCUGCUAGGCACGGAGGGAUCCGUCCUUCGGUGCUGCCCGACCAGUGAGUCCUUUAAACACACUCCAGCAGUGGUCACACAGAACUUACUUACAAACUCAAACUGGAGGAGGGAAGAUGAUGGCCUUGAAUGGACAGAAGAAGACAAUCAGUAACCCGAUCAUUCCAUAUGUUGGGACAAUAUUUGGUGGCCUUGCUCCUGGACAGCUGAUUAAGAUCCAUGGGACUGUUCCUGAUGAUGCAGACAGGUUCCAGGUGGAUUUACAGUGUGGCAGCAGCAUAACGCCUCGAGCUGAUGUGGCGUUUCAUUUCAACCCCCGCUUCAAAAGGUCUGGCUGCAUUGUUUGCAACACACUGGUAGGGGAAAGAUGGGGCUGGGAGGAGAUCACUUACGAGAUGCCCUUUCAAAAAGGGAAAUCAUUUGAGAUGAUCAUCAUGAUUUUAAAGAAUAAAUUCCAGGUGGCUGUAAACAAGAAGCACUUGCUCCUCUAUAACCACAGAAUUAGCCUUGAAAGAAUUGAUACUCUUGGAAUAUAUGGCAAAGUGCAAAUCAAAACUAUAGAUUUUGUUCUUGACGGGGAAAUGCCAGAUGGUGCCCAAUUCACUGUUCCCUAUGUUAAGGAACUUGAUACAGCACUUCGUCCAGGAUGCAUAGUUGCCAUUAAAGGAGAAGUGAAUAAAAACCCUACGAGCUUUACGGUAAACCUGAAAUCAAGUGACUCAAAGGACAUUGCAUUACAUCUGAAUCCCCGAAUGAAAAAUAAAGAUUUUAUAAGGAAUUCGUACCUUCAUGACAGCUGGGGAGAAGAAGAAAAGGAAAUUGCCGAUUUCCCUUUCAGUCCUGGGAUAUACUUUGAGCUGGUAAUCUUCUGUGAUUCCCACGAGUUCAAAGUUGCUAUCAAUGGCGUUCACACUCUGGAAUACAAGCAUCGUUUUAAACAACUUGAAAAGAUCAACGUAGUGGAAAUCAUGGGAGACAUUCAGUUGUUAGAUGUGAGGAGCUGGUAGUAUUUUGCCAUCACUACUAAAAGAAUUAAGCCUUUUCUAAUGACAGUGCCUCCUUGUCAAGUACAGACAGGUGCUGAUUUGUGCUGAGCCUGCCUUUAUCUAUCUAGGCUUCUGUGUCUACCUCUCCGAGUUAGGCGAGUACCAGAACUGCUAACUGCGAGAUUAAAUCCUCUACAGUAUCCUGGCCAGCUAAGUAAGUGUUUGCUCAAUCUCCUAUAUUACUAAACCUAAGAAUAUGAAAAUGCUGCAUCAUACUUUGUCUAACAAUUGCACUCGGUAUGUUCAAGUUAAACUACUACUCAGCAUUCCUUGAUAGCAUACAUUCAAUAUAGUGAAGCAGAAACUAGACUGAAGUAGGAUCUGAAGAUAUGGUUAUCCACACCACAAGGGACAUUCAUAAUUAAUUUAAAAUAGAAUUCUUAGAUAUACUCUACUACUUAGUUUAUAUUAGCAACUAUAACCUCUUGACUGAGGUGGAUUAUGGAAACAAUUGACCCAUGAGUGCUAGCAAAAGGCAAGGAAUUUGAUCUUCUGAGCCUGCUGUGAGUAGGACCUCAUCUGACACUUCCUGCUUGUAAGUGUUUUAAAUCAAACAUACAGCAGCAUUUCUAGCUCUUAGUUUUCCAAAGUGUUACAAAUGAAAAUUAUUUCACUGGUAGCAAUUGUGUGAGUUUUUGAAAGCUUAUCUGAUUUGAAAUGGCUCUGAACCGAGUUGAGAUUGCUCAGGGACUGAAAUGGGUGUUUGUUGGUUUCAUUUAGAAGAAAUAAAUGUGUGAACCCAGGUAGUCCAGGCAGAGUUUCAGUGGAGAUGAGACUCAGAUACUCAUCAGUGGAACAAAGAAUGAAUCCUUUUUCAGUCUUGGUAUUAAAAUACUAACUGAAACAAGCUGUUCCUGUUCGGUCAGUUUUCUGUACAAAUGUCAGUCUCAAUUUUUAUACUUAUAAAGUUGCUCCUGGCUGUCAAUACAUGUAUGAGGGAUGUUCAUAUUUAUCUUAACAGCUGCUAAAAGAGUGAAGCAAUUUCAAGAAUAAGAUGUACUCUAAAAGACUGUUUAAAAUAAAUCACCAGAUUUAAUGUAUAAAAAAUAUAAAUAAAAACAUUUGUGAACUCUGCUUUUCUCUAAAUGUAGCUACGUAGCUAUUAUCCCUUUCUGGUUUACCUUUUGUCUUGGUUUGCUUAUUCUCUUACUCAUGUCUCCAAGGUGGCAUAGCGAUCCUGACUGGAGGACCAUUUCCACAUCGAGGAGUUAGUGAUCCACAGACCAGUUACCCUGAGUAGGUCUCAGCUGUGCUGGUGUGUCCUUCAGGACAGUGUUGUGCUGCACAAUCAACUUAGCUGGCUGAUGGUAAUGGAGGAGCCGGUAGGCAGCUCCCACUUGGGUGUCCUUGCCUUUAUCUAAGAGUUGAGCAGGAAGUUAUCAUGUGAACAUCCUUUUUGUUUGACAGCAGACAUGAUUAAUAAUUUUUUUCUAAGAAAAUCCUUUAAGAGCAUGAAUGACCACAAAGGGGCAACCUUUCUGCAGAGAUCUGCAUGGCACACUGUACCCUGAACAGAGGCCCAUUCCCAGCACCAGCUGGGACAUACGAGUACCUUCUUUAUAGUGUUAGUUCUUACCAGUUGCAUUUUAAACCAUACUUCAGAAUCUCAGUGCCUUUCUUAUUAGCGAUGUAAGGAACCAGCACCUCCUGGUGCAAAACAGGUGGUGAAUUUUUUGGUACAUUCAUUAACAUAGCAAGCAAUUUAUUCUUCAGAUAAGUGCUAUUGCUUAGCUUGUCUUUAAAGACUAAAAAACCAGCUUUAGCUCCUGUAUGAAUCCUAAUUUAUUGUAACUUCCUUUUCAGUAUCCUCAAUGGCUUUACUUUUUACUUCCCUAAAAAGGACAGAAAAGCAGAUUCUCAGUAUUGCAGUGCAUGGGUGCCAUGAGUACCAUGCUUACAGCCCCUCCACAGGGACGGCAACUACGUACCGCAAGCACAGCGGAACUCAGAGUGUCUUGCAUGUCACUCUGUGCCCUAUCAGAAUUUGCUUAUAGCUUGCUCCAGUCUCCCACUGUUAAGAAAACAGCAGUUAAGGAAAAGUCAUACAGAAAGUCCCAAGACCAUCCAGAAAUUAUAAAACCAGAUUCUUACAAUGUUUUAUUAAAAAGUUAAGAUCUUUGCUCUGAUAGAAAUUAGUAUGACUAAUUUUGCCUGUAGUACUAGCCUGUGCGAAGCUAACAUGAUUCAGACAAAAUCUGAAAACAGAGGAGAUCAACUUAGAAGUAGCUUUGGAGUGGUUCUCCUAAAAUGACUUCUAGUUGUUGAAUUGUCUUCUGACACAGCUGUUCAACUUCUUCACAUUCAUCUAGAAAAAGAAAGAAAGCAGGAAUUAAGUAGAACAGCCAUUAGACAGCUACCCUAGGAAGGCCUCAUCACUCGUCGAGGCCAGAACUGGCUUCAAACACCAGGUAUGAAAUUAUUAUUAAAAAAUACUUUGGCACUGACUCAGGACUUGGGCAAACUAUUUCUAUUGUAACACUGAUCUAAAACAUGAAACGAGGGAGAUGUGCACACUGAAGAAACUACCAUAACUGAACUUCAGAAUUGUUGGAUACAAUCUAUUGCAGUUUGCAUCCUGUGCAGUUUAACCUACCGUAUACCAAUAUAUAAGAUUUACAGCAACUAUAGCAAUCAUACUGUCUGAACCUCUGAAAAGUGACCCUUAUUCUCUUUUUUGUCUUAGGCCAGUUGUCUGCACCAGUACCACUUUAGAACAUUACCUUCCAUGAGCUCAGCUAAGAAUGGAAUGGAUUCAGGUAGCAGGACCAGGAACUGGGCAGAUCCUGUCCCCCUUUACGUAUCUGUAGGAAUUAGCUCACCUGCAGCAAGCAAUCCAGAAGAUAAGGGCUAAGGAAGUGUGGUAACGUUUCUGCAACCUUCAGCAGAGCAGUGACAGCACUCAGCAAGUAAAUCUCAUUGGAAACCAGCUCCUUCUUAUUUUUUAAAGUCUUCAACAAUGCUGGCAUCAGCCUGUGAAUAACCAAGCAUAGAUAGAGGAAGGUGAAACCACUGACCAGUUGGAGGCACAUUUCCAAUCCCAUAAAUCCAUCUGUUAAGCCUGCAGGGACAAACUCUACAUGAUUUUUUACAUGUGUAUUUGAGAAAACUCAGUAUUCUUGGCUUUUCUGCUGUAUUUCAUUUUUUCGAAGUUAAUAAAGGUUAUUAGAUUUCAAAUUGCA